rnacentral:rRNA from 1 species
UAGGGAAUCUUCGGCAAUGGACGAAAGUCUGACCGAGCAACGCCGCGUGAGUGAAGAAGGUUUUCGGAUCGUAAAACUCUGUUGUUAGAGAAGAACAAGGACGUUAGUAACUGAACGUCCCCUGACGGUAUCUAACCAGAAAGCCACGGCUAACUACGUGCCAGCAGCCGCGGUAAUACGUAGGUGGCAAGCGUUGUCCGGAUUUAUUGGGCGUAAAGCGAGCGCAGGCGGUUUCUUAAGUCUGAUGUGAAAGCCCCCGGCUCAACCGGGGAGGGUCAUUGGAAACUGGGAGAGUUGAGUGCAGAAGAGGAGAGUGGAAUUCCAUGUGUGGCGGUGAAAUGCGGAGAUAUAUGGAGGAACACCAGUGGAGAAGGCGGCUCUUUGGUCUGUAACUGACGCUGAGGCUCGAAAGCGGGGGGAGCAAACAGG